AUGUCGACCUCGUCUCCCACCUCGUCGCCGCCUCCCUCCGCUGACGGAGGCGACGACGGCGGCGGGGCCCGCUGCAUCUCGCCGACGUCCUCCCGUCGGAAGGUCUCCCCCAACCGCAGCGGCGGGAGCUCCCGCAAGAGUCCAGGUUCAAGAGAAUUUGGAAACUCAGUACUGAAAUCUGUGAAUAAGUCGACAUCCCAGUUCAAGAAAUCUGUGAUUCGCAGAAGUGGUCCUUCGAUUGAUUGGUUCCCUAGGAAAAAAACUGAAUCAUACUUGAAAAGAAAGAUAAAGCGUCUUCAGGAGACUGAUGGUAUGACCGCAUCCCUUCAUGAUACUCUGGAAAAUUCCAAUCUUCAUUAUACUAGGAUGGCAAGGGAGAAAAUUGCAGCCAGUGAAGCGGCCAGAAAGGCGAUGGAAGCUCGCAAGACUGCUAUGGUUGAAGCUUCGUGGUGUAGAAUUCUUCAAACAGCCAGGAUCCAAAACAAAGAAGCUGAAGAACUUAUGGAAAAGGCCAAGUUGCAUGCGACUGAAGCAUUUGAAUACGCUAGAGUAAUAGGUAUCAUGAUGUAUGACAAGCCUGACUGUCCCAGUCAGCAGUAUGAGGUGGAAUCCUCGGCAAAAACUGGAGGAAGACCAACUCACAAGGUUACAGCGUCCUUUCAGACUGCUUUUGAGGUUGAUAUGGAGGUUGCUGCUGCAGUGAAGAAGGCAUUUGUCAAACUUGCAAACUCUCCUGAUUUGUCAAACCAAGAAGAGUUUAAGGAGCUAUUGCGGAAAAUUAGCCAAAAUCCAGAUGCGACUGAUAGUGAUGUGAAUUCUGAAGCUGAGCAGCAGCUUGGUGACUGUAACAAUGAAGAAACAAACAAUUUCAAAUCCAAUAACAAUACCUCCAGAAGAAGCAUCUUUCCAUCUGAUUUCAACACUGCUGAUCUAGAACAAUCCACUGAUCUUGUAAACAUUAUGCUUGAAAGGAUAAAAGCUCUUCAUGAAGACGACCUUGCCUCUUUGGCGGUCAUUGUUGCCACAUCUGGCCUAAAUGCAGCACUUCAAAGGGAUAAGGGAAAAUUUCCUGAAAUGAAGCCUGUGAGCCACACUACUGCAGGGUCACACAGACCACAAUCAAGAAGAUAUUCCACUGCAGCCAGCUUUAUUGAUAUACAAGGACCAAAGAAAGAAGUCUCGUCUGAAUUACCCAGUCUGGACAAGUUCUUGGUCAAGCAUCAUUCAAAACUAGAAAGAGAAGUUCAAGAAGCAAAAGAAGCAUGCAGAAAAGUCACUUCAGCAAAACCUGUUGUACAAGAUGGCCAGGGCCAACUUGCAGGGAGCUACACAACGGCACUAGAAUCUGCUUCUGAUCUGGGCAGCAUUCUUGUGAAGAAUAUGUCUAGGCUUGAGAAAGAGAUCUUGGAAGCCAAGAAGAGCAACCAAUGCGCCGAUUCUUCUGAAGGGAGCUGUAAGGUUGUUACAGAUGAUGCGCAAGCCAGCACCGAAGAAUCUGAAUCUCUCAAGGGUCAGUCAGAAGUCUUGUCUGACAGCAAUGUAAAGAGAAACUGUGAUAACAGGGAAUCGGUUGAAGAAAGCAAUUGCGUUCAAGCCUGUACCGAUUCUUCACAAGAUAAAGAAAACAGAAUUUUAAGUUCACAUAAGCUGCCACCCUUGGCUGCAAAGGGUAACCAUGGUGGCAAAAGAUUGACUCGAAUUGAAGCUGCAAAGCUUGAAGCACUUAGAAGUUUCUGCACUAAGGAUGGCAGUGAAGUAGAUGUUGGCCUCGAUAAGGUCUUUGUUAAGCCAACCAAUAGACUGGAGAUGGAAAAGAGAAAAGCACUGGAGCAAGGACAGACCGACGUGCAGAAGCAGAAAGAUCCACAGAAGUGUUGUGAUAACACACCAGUGAGUUUAGAUGAGAUUUUAGUGAAGCGUGUAUCAAGACUGGAAAGAGAGAAAAUGGAGUAUGAGAAGAGGAAUGCCUCGGGACAAGGACAGACCAUUGUGUCACGUGAUCAGCGGAAGUAUGGCAACAUUGCUACAGCAUCCGAGAGCUUGGAUCAAGUCCUAGUAAAACGUGUUAGUCGACUAGAAAGGGAGAAGAUGGAAUAUGAGAAGAGGAAUGCAUCAGGAGGAGCAAGAACUGGUGUGCAGACUGGUAACGAUGACAAAGCAUCUGAUAGUUUAGAUCAGAUCUUGGUUAAACAUGUCUCCAGGCCUGAAAAGGAGAAGAUGGAGCAAGAAAAGAAGGGUGGUAGUGACACACUAUUGCUGAAGAAGAGUGAUACACAGUGUGCAGAUGGAGCGGCCGGAGGCCUUGCUGACAUCUUUGUCAAGCGUCCAACGAAGCUUGAGCAAGCCAAGCAGGCUGCUGCUGCUGCUGCUGCUGAAGGAAAUUCGACAAGAGUCUUAAACCCCGCUGAAGAGCGCAGGAGAGCGAGGGAGAAAGAGCUUCUGGAUGCAUGGGGAGGAGAGGGGCUUGGGAGCUCGGUGAAGCCCCAUCUGUCCAAGAUUGAGAGUGACAAGGCUGCAUGCAGGAAAACAGAGGGAGAACUGAAGCAGGAGCGCAGAAGAGCAAGGGAGAAGGAGCUUCUUGAUGCAUGGGGAGGAGUGGGGCUCGGCAACUCGAUGAAGCCACAUCUCUCCAAGAUCGAGAAAGAUAAGGCUGCAUGGAGAAAACUAGAGGAGGAACAGAAGCAGAUAUGUGCUGGUACAACGGAGCUGUGA
rnacentral:rRNA from 1 species